UAAUGGAAUUUAAACCAAUAAUGAACAGCACUGUUUUGCAGGCAGACAAAUGAUCACAAAGUCACUGAUCACAUGGGUACUUACAAAAACCAUGGAAUGUCCAUGCUUCUUUACUCCUAUUUUUGUACCCUGAUUCAAUCUGAGCCCUCUUCAUUUACUCAGUGAUCGAAGUGAGCAGGAAAAUCUCGGAGACAACUUUAAGAUACCAAAUCUUCUAUCAUCCCUCUCUUAGAAGCACAAUGUCUUGCUUUGAUCGUUGGACUGUACUUCAGAAGGUUGUCUCAUCAGGUCAUUCCUAGGUCCUUUAGUUGUCUUCAAUCAUCAUCAUCAUCCAAAGAGUUUCACAAGAUUUCAUUCUUGGGAGA